AAAGGAAUUGACGGGGGCCCGCACAAGUGGUGGAGCAUGUGGUUUAAUUCGACGCUACGCGAAGAACCUUACCUGGGUUUGACAUGCACAGGAAGACUACAGAGAUGUAGUUCGUCCUUCGGGACCUGUGCACAGGUGCUGCAUGGCUGUCGUCAGCUCGUGCCGUGAGGUGUUGGGUUAAGUCCCGCAACGAGCGCAACCCUUAUCCUUAGUUGCCAUCGGGUGAUGCCGGGCACUCUGGGGAGACUGCCAGCAUAAGUUGGAGGAAGGUGGGGAUGACGUCAAGUCAGCAUGGCCCUUACGUCCAGGGCUACACACGUGCUACAAUGGCUGGUACAAAGGGUUGCCAACCCGCGAGGGGGAGCGAAUCCCAUAAAGCCAGUCUCAGUUCGGAUUGCAGGCUGCAACUCGCCUGCAUGAAGUCGGAAUCACUAGUAACCGCAGAUCAGCUACGCUGCGGUGAAUGCGUUCCCGGGCCUUGUACACACCGCCCGU
rnacentral:rRNA from 1 species